AUACGUAGGGGGCGAGCGUUGUCCGGAAUGAUUGGGCGUAAAGGGCGCGUAGGCGGCCCGGUAAGUCUGGAGUGAAAGUCCUGUUUUUAAGAUGGGAAUUGCUUUGGAUACUGUCGGGCUUGAGUGCAGGAGAGGUAAGUGGAAUUCCCAGUGUAGCGGUGAAAUGCGUAGAGAUUGGGAGGAACACCAGUGGCGAAGGCGACUUUCUGGACUGUAACUGACGCUGAGGCGCGAAAGUGUGGGGAGCAAACAGGAUUAGAUACCCUGGUAGUCCACACUGUAAACGAUGAAUGCUAGGUGUAGGGGGUAUCGACCCCUUCUGUGCCGCAGUCAACACAAUAAGCAUUCCGCCUGGGGAGUACGGCCGCAAGGUUGAAACUCAAAUGAAUUGACGGGG
rnacentral:rRNA from 1 species